rnacentral:rRNA from 1 species
GAUCAUGGCUCAGGAUGAACGCUGGCGGCGUGCAUAACACAUUCAAGUCGAACGGACGACUCGGAGCUUGCUCCGGGAAGUUAGUGGCGGACGGGUGAGUAACGCGUGAGCAACCUACCUGUGUGAGUGGAAUAACGUCCGGAAACAGACGCUAAUACCGCAUGACUCACGGACUUCGCAUGGAGACCGUGGCAAAGAUUUAUCGCACACAGAUGGGCUCGCGUCCGAUUAGG